rnacentral:tRNA from 1 species
GCCUGGCUGGCUCAGUGGGUAGAGCACAUGACUCUUGAUCUUGGGGUUGUGAGUUCGAGCCCCACGUUGGGUG